CAAGUCGAACGGGGUCCAACUAGUGGCAACACUAGGGAAGAUCUAGUGGCGAACGGGUGCGUAACACGUGAGGAACCUACCCCGGACUCUGGAAUAACAGCGGGAAACCGCUGCUAAUACUGGAUAUCGUCGCACGGUCGCAUGGCCGAGUGACGAAAGAUUUAUCGGUUCGGGACGGUCUCGCGGCCUAUCAGCUUGUUGGCGGGGUAACGGCCCACCAAGGCAUCGACGGGUAGCUGGUCUGAGAGGAUGAUCAGCCACACUGGGACUGAGACACGGCCCAGACUCCUACGGGAGGCAGCAGUGGGGAAUCUUGCGCAAUGGGCGAAAGCCUGACGCAGCAACGCCGCGUGGGGGGUGAAGGCUCUCGGGUUGUAAACCCCUUUCAGCAGGAACGAAAAUGACGGUACCUGCAGAAGAAGGCCCGGCCAACUACGUGCCAGCAGCCGCGGUAAUACGUAGGGGCCAAGCGUUGUCCGGAUUUAUUGGGCGUAAAGAGCUCGUAGGCGGUUUGGAUAGUCGGAUGUGAAAACUCCGAGCUCAACUCGGAGACGCCACCCGAUACUGCCAUGACUAGAGUCCGGUAGGGGAGCAGGGAAUUCCUGGUGUAGCGGUGAAAUGCGCAGAUAUCAGGAGGAACACCGGUGGCGAAGGCGCUGCUCUGGGCCGGUACUGACGCUGAGGAGCGAAAGCGUGGGUAGCAAACAGGAUUAGAUACCCUGGUAGUCCACGCCGUAAACGUUGGGCACUAGGUGUGGGCCCUAACCAACGGGGUCCGUGCCGCAGCUAACGCAUUAAGUGCCCCGCCUGGGGAGUAC
rnacentral:rRNA from 1 species